CCAAAAUGGAAAGUAGGGAAACCAGCUCAGCCACUCGUGAGGAUGAAAUCAUCCCCGAAAAGGGCAGCAAGGUUUUUUCAGUAAUAUGGAAGUGGUUCGGGUUGAAGAGGUCUGUUGUUCAGCAAACGAAUGUCCUGUGCAAAAUGUGUCGAAAGACAGUUGCUACGAAAAGCAGCAGUACAACCAACCCCUUCCAUCACCUGCAACUGAAACACGCGGUGGAAUGGGAGGAAUUCGUGAAACUACGCAAUGCCGAUUCCAGUCGCCCAAUUUCCAAAAUGUCAGCUAAAAGACAAACUACCAUAGUCGCUUCCUUUUCAAAUGUAAUCCCUUAUGACAAAAGUUUGAGGUGGAAGGAGAUAACGGAUGCAGUGACCUAUUACAUAGCGAAAGAUAUGGUUCCAAUCUUUACAGUAGAAAAGUCAGCGUUUAAAAAUCUGCUAGGUACAGGUGACCACAAAUCAGCUGCCAAGCCGCAAGUAUUUCACGGAGAAGCCCUGCCGCGAAUAUACACUGCUACCCGCGAAAGAGUCGCAGAGAAGCUGGCUAGUGUUUCUUAUUUUUCCACCACAGCCGAUCUAUGGUCGAGCAGAACGUCAGAGCCAUACCUAAAUUUGACAGUCCACUACAUAAAUGAAGACUGGAAAUUGUAGAACGUCUACCUCCAGACGUCUAACUUCCCCGAUGAUCAUACGGGUGAAGUAAUAGUCCAGGAUCUCAAAGACUCUGGCAUCGUGGAAGAUGAGCGAAGACUGACAGCAGGAGCAACAUGAUAAAAGCAUUGCGCUUGAACUACUGAACCCGCCUGCUGUGCUUUAGGCACAGGUUUCGCCAUCGGGGACAGUGGCCACGCAACUGACAGGCACCACGAUGAGGCGGAAGGAAAAGUUAUCCUUACUGUCUAAACAGUGACAGGACCAGCAUUCCAGUCUUUAGUAACUGAUUCGUUAACUGGCAGUCUCUGUAAGGGACUGCUUCCUUGACGAUCAAUAAGGGGCUUGUCACUAUCCUUUGGACUGUUUCCUGUUAAGUGUCCGAUGACAGUCACUUUGGCACUCAGGUCAUUCUAAUUGAGGCAUUUAUUUCUUCACAAUCUACUGAUGGCAGCCUUUAAAGUCUGUGGUUGAUUACAAAUGAUAUGUAACUGCCCUAUAUAUCAAUGUUUCUAUACAGGGUAGCCAUGGUGUCACUCUAGAUUCUACCACUGUAGAACAUUGGUACACUGUAAUACCAGGUAAUCGAAUCACUGUACACACUAUACUGCAAGGUGCAUGGUUUAACAUUCCACGUUUCCUCUACUGUAGAUUCUACACAAUUGGUUGUUAUUACUAUACUGUAACACCAUACCAUCAAAUCACUAAUGUUACACGCUGUUCUAUACUAACACUGCACUUUUCUGAAAACAUGUACUAAAACUGGUUUCCCUUCUGAAAGAGGGUUUCGCAAGACUGUACAACAACCACUCUUAUAACCAAAAGCCAGCCUGUUGCUCCUACCACAGAUUUAGUUUUUGGCCUCCCUCUUUCUCCUUGUCUUGCUCGAUCUGCUAGUGUAAAAUGCAGAUUUAUAUCUUGCUCAGAGCGCACGUCCAGGAAAUGCAAUGGAAGGAAACUGUAAACAUGUUGAUCAUCAGGUUUCAACAGCUACUAAUGCGUCUGCCAGUAUUCUCCCUGGGCUUUGAUUCUGCUACAAUAUCUCUGGGAAGAAUGUGAGUCCCCACAUUGUUUCUAUUCUAUUUCUUUGAGUCCCAAAUGGCACCCAAUUCCCUAUAUAGUGCACUACUUUUGACCAGAGGGAAUAGGGUGCCAUUUGGAAUGCAUUCAACCUUUGACUUGACUUUGUGUUUUAUAAUUUUUGGCACUGAAUGUAACAUAUAACCAUUACUAGAAGUCAGCCUGUUGCUCCUACCACAGGGGAUUUUGUUUGUGGCCUUCCUCUUUCUCCUUUCUUCUUGUCUUGCGCCAUCUGCUGGUGUAAAAUUCAGAUCUAUAUUUAUAUCUUGCCCAGGGCUCGCCUCCAUGAAGGCAGUGCAAUGGAACGCAACUGUAAACCUGAAUAACAAGAGUCAAUUAGUAAUCUGAGAGAAUUAGUUAUCAGUUUCAAGUUGAACAUGUAAAUGUUUACCUGGUGGUUGAUUAUGAUACUUAUGUAAAUGCCAUAAUUGUUUUAUGUUAUGAAAGAGGCUGCUAUUGUCUUAAUAUUGUAGUUAUAUAAUGACUGUUUCAGUUCCCAUGAUGUUUUACUGCUACCAUGUUGCUGAUGGCAUUACAUAUAGACUGAGUAAUCUGUUGUAUUGUGGCAGCUUGAGGUGAAUGGUGUCCACGACAAGACUCCACCUCCCAUAAUUCCUGCCAAAUCUUGUAUCAGUUCCUUCUUACUUCAGUACAUGAUUGGAAGUUGGCACUAUAGAUACAGCUAGAAUGAUUAAUCGAUUUAUAUGCUAGCCUGCUUGGCACUGGUCAGGGCUCUUCCAAAGAAGCUUGGACUUUUGGCUUAGCUCUAUGGUGGUUUGAGAUGUUCAUGUGUAAAGUUUUGUUUAUUUCGCAGUUCAACAAAAUGGGAUUUCUUCUCUGUAUGAAGUGUAUAUCAAGCGAUUUGUUGAUGUGCCUGCUUGAGGCCUACUCCACAUACUUUUUUGUUGUCCCCUGUUUUUUUGUAUAUUUCACACUUUGAAAUUCCUUUUCAAAUCCCACACCUUGACACUGUUCAGGUUUUGUAUAUAGGAUGACGAUUUUAAUUGUAGUUUUUAAUUACUACAAUCUUAAAAAAAAAAAAAAUGAAAAUCAUAAUUGAUGGUGAGGCUAAUCUGAAAUGUUCUAAGGUCUAAACUGUUUUAAGGAACCAAAAGCAGUAAACCAUUGUGAGAAAAAUGUAUAUAAUUACUGCACAAAGAUUUUUUUAUUUUUUUUAUCCAUCAUUAUGCAUUAUAUAAGUAGUUACAGUACCUAAAGACUAUUUUUAUCCCAGCGACAGUACAUGGUUGCAUUCAUUAGUGCACACCGUAGCAAAACAAUUCAACGGAAAACAAAUGUUUCUUAUUGGACAAGUUCAGGUGGUCCCUACACAUUUUGGUCAAUCUGCUAUCAUUUCGUUCCAUGUGAAUACAACCCUGGUUUGAUUGAAUCCAAAGAUGUGACACUGAACAGAAGACAACUGUUCAGUUGUCUUCAAACCACGGGCCGGUGGUUUUAUUUUGCCCCCCAAAAAUAUACAGUUUUGACUCCCCCUCCAAAAAAUAUACACUACCGUUCAAAAGUUUGGGUCACUUAGAAAUGUC